rnacentral:rRNA from 1 species
GGUCAGGAUGAACGCUGGCGGCGUGCCUAACACAUGCAAGGUCGAACGGGGUUACUGGCAGCGGAGAUUCGGUCAAAGCAGCCUUUAACCAGUGGCGGACGGGUGAGUAACGCGUGGGGAACCUGCCCUGUACUGGGGGGUAACAGUGAGAAAUCACUGCUAAUACCGCAUAAGCGCACAGCAUCGCAUGAUGCAGUGUGAAAAACUGAGGUGGUACAGGAUGGCUCCGCGUUGGAUUAGCCAGUUGGCGGGUAACGGCCCACCAAAGCGACGAUCCAUAGCCGGCCUGAGAGGGUGAACGGCCACAUUGGGACUGAGACACGGCCCAGACUCCUACGGGAGGCAGCAGUGGGGAAUAUUGCACAAUGGGGGAAACCCUGAUGCAGCCGACGCCGCGUGAAGGAAGAAGUAUCUCGGUAUGUAAACUUCUAUCAGCAGGGAAGAUGAUGACGGUACCUGACUAAGAAGCCCCGGCUAACUACGUGCCAGCAGCCGC